rnacentral:rRNA from 1 species
UACAGAGGGGGCGAGCGUUGUUCGGAAUUACUGGGCGUAAAGGGCGCGUAGGCGGCCCGCUAAGUCGAACGUGAAAUCCCCAGGCUCAACCUGGGAACUGCGUCCGAUACUGGCAGGCUUGAAUCCGGGAGAGGGAUGUGGAAUUCCAGGUGUAGCGGUGAAAUGCGUAGAUAUCUGGAGGAACACCGAUGGCGAAGGCAGCCCCCUGGGCUAACACUGACGCUCAUGCACGAAAGCGUGGGGAGCAAACAGG